ensembl:lncRNA
AGCAAUGUCAAGCAAGUUAAGAAACUGUAGACGAAGCCUUGCUGCCGCUUUGGAUCAGGCAGCAGAAGAAGUUCCUAAUUUAUCAUCAUUGUCUCCAAACAACUGCAGCCUGAUUAGAAUAUCACAGGAUGACCCGAAUGAAGACUUUCAGUGCCACACACGGUCUGCAAACCUGCAAGAUCUUCAUGGGCUCCUUGAUGUACAGACCUUGGAGGAUCUUGUGGCAAAGCUGGAGUUUGAAAAUGAGCUGAACCGCGUCUACAGUAGAUUCCUGCAGAGUAAUGGAAAGAACACAGAAAAUGUGAAUAGCGAUGUGGAAGAGGAAAGCACAGGCCGCUGGGUUCACGAUAGUACGGAGGAAUAUUCCUUCUUGCUAGACAUGAUUCUUGAGAUUGAGCGGGACAGUGACUUCACUGCUGACUGUGAUGUCAGUGCUUUGGAGCGGGACUUACAGUUAUCACCAUAGUUUCAGUGCCCUCAACGAUUUAUAUGUUACACUUCUUUACAGUUAGAAGGAAACAGGGUUAUUUUCAAAAGAAAAGAUGAGCUACUAAAAAUGUUUGGCUACUUGGAACGUUGUACAGAUGUAUGUUUGUAUAGCAGAGUUUAUAGCAAUACAAUUUAUGCAUGUCAUUCUUAAUUACUACUUGUGUAAAUUAAUUCAUUUCUGCACUAGGAAUACACUGAUCUACAGCUGCUGUUAUCAAGCAGAAUCACUGAAGGAAAAAAAUAGAAACAAAACUGACUUCCAGCCACAGACUUUAAUUAACCAAAUUAACCAAAAUAAAACAGCAGCGGAUGAUUACA